UAGGGAAUCUUCGGCAAUGGACGAAAGUCUGACCGAGCAACGCCGCGUGAGUGAAGAAGGCUUUCGGAUCGUAAAACUCUGUUGUUAGAGAAGAACAAGGACGUUAGUAACUGAACGUCCCCUGACGGUAUCUAACCAGAAAGCCACGGCUAACUACGUGCCAGCAGCCGCGGUAAUACGUAGGUGGCAAGCGUUGUCCGGAUUUAUUGGGCGUAAAGCGAGCGCAGGCGGUUUCUUAAGUCUGAUGUGAAAGCCCCCGGCUCAACCGGGGAGGGUCAUUGGAAACUGGGAGACUUGAGUGCAGAAGAGGAGAGUGGAAUUCCAUGUGUAGCGGUGAAAUGCGUAGAUAUAUGGAGGAACACCAGUGGCGAAGGCGGCUCUCUGGUCUGUAACUGACGCUGAGGCUCGAAAGCGUGGGGAGCAAACAGG
rnacentral:rRNA from 2 species